rnacentral:other from 1 species
CAUCCCCUGUGUGGUUGGUGAUGGGUAUCCUAUUUGUAGAACCAACACUAUUGCCCAGGGAGUCUUUUACCUGCGGAGCCUGUGCAAGCCCCGCCCGUACGGGGACGCUGAUGGCGCGUGGAGCGGACACCCACCUGAAGAAAUUCAGGUUCUAAAAGCGGCAGCCCACACGGCUUCGCGGGGGAUGC